rnacentral:tRNA from 8 species
GCCCAGGUAGCUCAGUUGGUAGAGCAGAGGACUGAAAAUCCUCGUGUCGGUGGUUCGAUUCCGCCCCUGGGCACCA